CCUACGGGAGGCAGCAGUGGGGAAUAUUGGGCAAUGGGCGCAAGCCUGACCCAGCAACGCCGCGUGAAGGAAGAAGGCUUUCUGGUUGUAAACUUCUUUUCUCAGGGACGAAGAAAGUGACGGUACCUGAGUAAUAAGCCACGGCUAACUACGUGCCAGCAGCCGCGGUAAUACGUAGGUGGCAAGCGUUAUCCGGAUUGAUUGGAUGUAAAGGGCGUGUAGGCGGGAGAGCAAGUCAGAUGUGAAAACUCAGGGCUCAACCCUGAGCCUGCAUUUGAAACUGUGUUUCUUGAGUGCUGGAGAGGCAAUCGGAAUUCCGGGUGUAGCGGUGAAAUGCGUAGAUAUACGGAGGAACACCAGUGGCGAAGGCGGAUUGCUGGACAGUAACUGACGCUGAGGCGCGAAAGCGUGGGGAGCAAACAGGAUUAGAUACCCGGGUAGUC
rnacentral:rRNA from 1 species